rnacentral:rRNA from 1 species
AUUGAACGCUGGCGGCAGGCCUAACACAUGCAAGUCGAACGAGUGGCGGACGGGUGAGUAAUGUCUGGGAAACUGCCCGAGGGGGGGGGAUAACUACUGGAAACGGUAGCUAAUACCGCAUACCAUCGGAUGUGCCCAGAUGGGAUUAGCGCGUAGGGGGGGGAACGGCGCACCGAGGCGACGAUCCCCAGCUGGUCUGAGAGGAUGACCAGCCACAUUGGAACUGAGACACGGGCCAGACUCCUACGGGAGGCAGCAGUGGGGAAUAUUGCACAAUUGGCGCAAGCCUGAUGCAGCCAUGCCGCGUGUAUGAAGAAGGCCUUCGGGUUGUAAAGUACUUUCAGCGGGGAGGCGUUACUCGCAGAAGAAGCACCGGCUAACUCCGUGCCAGCAGCCGCGGUAAUAC